UACGAAGGGGGCUAGCGUUGCUCGGAAUUACUGGGCGUAAAGGGCGCGUAGGCGGAUGCUUAAGUCGGGGGUGAAAGCCCGGGGCUCAACCUCGGAAUUGCCUUCGAUACUGGGUAUCUUGAGUUCGGGAGAGGUGAGUGGAAUGCCGAGUGUAGAGGUGAAAUUCGUAGAUAUUCGGCGGAACACCAGUGGCGAAGGCGACUCACUGGCCCGAUACUGACGCUGAUGCGCGAAAGCGUGGGGAGCAAACAGG
rnacentral:rRNA from 1 species